rnacentral:rRNA from 1 species
UACGAAGGGGGCUAGCGUUGUUCGGAAUUACUGGGCGUAAAGCGCACGUAGGCGGAUACUUAAGUCAGGGGUGAAAUCCCGGGGCUCAACCCCGGAACUGCCUUUGAUACUGGGUAUCUCGAGUCCGGAAGAGGUGAGUGGAAUUCCGAGUGUAGAGGUGAAAUUCGUAGAUAUUAGGAAGAACACCAGUGGCGAAGGCGGCCCACUGGAUCGGUACUGGACACUGAGGUGCGAAGGCGUGGGGAGCGAACGGG